rnacentral:rRNA from 1 species
UACGUAGGGCGCAAGCGUUAUCCGGAAUUAUUGGGCGUAAAGAGCUCGUAGGCGGUUUGUCGCGUCUGCCGUGAAAGUCCGGGGCUCAACUCCGGAUCUGCGGUGGGUACGGGCAGACUAGAGUGAUGUAGGGGGAGACUGGAAUUCCUGGUGUAGCGGUGAAAUGCGCAGAUAUCAGGAGGAACACCGAUGGCGAAGGCAGGUCUCUGGGCAUUAACUGACGCUGAGGAGCGAAAGCAUGGGGGAGCGAACGGG